AUGGCGUCCGAACCCCAAUCGUCCUCGGACGGCGACCACCCAGACCUGAAGGAAGUCGAUGGUGCGGUGGACUUGGAGAUGGAGGAUCCCACCGGCGGAAGCAGCGGCGCCGGCAGGCUGCUGUACAAGCUUCCGGCGAGGAUAUCAGGGAUGCUUUAUCCCCACCAGCGCCAGGGGCUUGGCUGGCUUUGGUUUUUGCAUUGCAGGGUGACUGGUGGCGUCGUCGGCGAUGACAUGGGACUGGGGAAGACCAUGCAGAUUUCUGCAUUCCUAGCCGGAUUGUUCCAUUCAGGUUUAAUCAGGAGAGUGUUGGUUGUCGUUCCAAAGACACCUGUGACUCAUUGGAUCAAAGAACUUACACUUGUUGGCCUCAAAAGCAAGAUCAGCGACUGCUCUGGUCCCAACGCAAAUGUUCGCAACUCUGAGCUCCAACGCGCAGUUAAGGAGGGCGGUGUAGUAUUGACAACAUAUGACAUUGUCCGGAUAAAUUACAAGCUGAUAAGGGGUGACUUCUACCAUGAAGCCGAUGAUGAUGAGGAGAGAAACCUAUGGGACUAUGUUGUUCUUGAUGAGGCACAUCAAAUCAAAAACCCUAAGACACAAAGAUUCCAAAGCAUAUGUGACAUACCAUGUGUCCAUCGGAUUGCCAUUAGUGGCACACCUAUACAAAAUAACUUGAAGGUACUACCUGAAAAGCUCCUACAGUCCUACUCUAAUUUAAUACCACUAUAUGAUCAAUAUGUCCCCAUUGCGAUAUUGUUUUACCAAUGCAAGUUUAGAGAAAGGUAUGAAAAUGCUAUCAAUCGAGGAAAUGAAAAGGAUGCCACCAAUCGAGAGAAGCACAUUGGCUCAGAGGUAGCUAAGAGGCAACUAUAUGAAGCUUUUCUGAAGAGUGAUAUACUUAAUACAAUGCGACCUCCCUUGCCUCACAUCACGAUAUUGAAGAAAAUAUGUGAUCACCCACUGAUGCUGACAAAGAUAGCCGCUGAGGGCAUCUUGGAAGGCAUGGAAGACAUGGACGGAAAGUUGAAUGAUCAUGAUAUGGUGAGGCUUGAAAAAAUGGCUCUGAACCUUGCUGGUAUUAAAUGUGGCUACUGCCUGAUGUUGCAGCGAAAUCUUCUUGAAGAGGGACACCAUGUUCUAAUUUUUUCGCAGACUCGCAAGAUGCUAAACCUUGUUCAGCAAGUUAUAUCAGUAGAGGGCUACAAGUUUUUUCGCAUCGAUGGUACAACCAAGAUUUCAGAGAGGGAAAGGAUUGUGAAGGAUUUCCAGGAGGGUUCUGGAACUCCAAUAUUUUUACUGACUACCAAAGUCGGUGGUCUUGGACUUACACUCACCAAGGCAGAUCGCGUCAUAGUAGUCGACCCUGCUUGGAAUCCAAGGAUGCAAGUUCUCUUAGUUCUAACACAAUCUUCGUAUUCACAGUGUCGACAGUCAGGCUGUCGAUCGUGCUUAUCGAAUUGGACAGACAAAAGAUGUGAUUGUAUACCGCUUGAUGCUGCAACUGUUGAAGAAAAGAUAUAUAGAAUGCAGGUCUUCAAGUGGGGUUUGUUUAGGACAGCCACUGAGCAGAAAGAACAAACACGCUACUUCAACCAGAGGGACAUUCAGGAGCUUCUUAGCCUACCGGCACAAGGUUUUGACAUCUCCCCUACGCAAAAGCAAUUGCAAAAAGAGCAUGAACAGCAGCUUGACAUGGAUGAGUCACUGAGGCAGCACAUAGAGUUUCUAGAGCAGCAAGGAAUAGCCGGUGUGAGCCACCACAGCCUCCUGUAUUCCAAGACAGAGGUCUUGCCAGCUUUGAGCGAAAAUGAUCAUGCACCGGACAGGGAUGCGCAUGCCGUUAAGCCAAAUUCAGAUGUCCGUGCCGAAGAUAUCAACCGGCUGACGCAAACCCUUGCGAACACGGCACUGGCGUCCGUGCUGCCGGACCGUGACGGUGAGGAAAAGACACAAGGUGGUUUGGAUGAUGACAAGCUGACGGUGGUCGCUGCUGAGUCGACAUGA
rnacentral:rRNA from 1 species